UACGUAGGGGGCGAGCGUUGUCCGGAAUCAUUGGGCGUAAAGAGCGUGUAGGCGGUUCGGUAAGUCUGCCGUGAAAACCUGGGGCUCAACCCUGGGCGUGCGGUGGGAAACUGUCGAGCGUAGAGGAUGGUAGGAGGGGAGUGGGAAUUCCCGGUGUAGCGGUGAAAUGCGCAGAUAUGGGAGGACACCAGUAGCGAAGGCGACUCC
rnacentral:rRNA from 1 species